UAUUAAAGGAGUCUACAACCUGAACUGAGUAUCACUGCAGGGAGCCAGAGUACAUGUAAAUUACAGGGUUGUGGGCACUUUCCAAUUCUGGCACAACCUUUAUGUAAAAGGUUACCCUAGUCCUUUAAGAGUGAACUUUUAGAGAAAGGUUCUACCUCAAUGGUAUUUGCAACUAAUUGGCUUUAUCUUACUUGCCAGCUCUUGAUUGAUGAAGCUGGCUGAAGGGUUGGAUUGAAUAGAACUCGGAGGUUGAGUUGGAAUCAGCUGGAAAGAGCACUAUGUUCAUUUGGCAGUGUGUGUGUGUGUGUGUGUGUGUGUGUGUGUGUGUGUGUUUAUUGGCAUGGGGAAUGGCAGCACUUGGGCCAUGUAUUUUCUCUCUUCUUUCAGGUCAGUUUUGUAUGGGCUGAGACUCCAUGGAGUCACCUAAGCUGGAGGCUUCCAAAUUACAAACUGUACCUAAGACAAGGAGACGACCUUUCUUAGUGGGUGACAUUCUUAGUCUAGGAAGAGGAGCAUUCCUGUGGAAGAGUUCUCAGGGAUUUGGGUAACAGUGGGGGUGUAUGGGUGGGGAAGACAGUAUUCCAAGUAGAGGAAAUAGCACUUGCAAGACCCUGGGGAAUGAGAGAGAAUGGUGGUUCCUAAGAACACAGAGCAGACCCGUAGAGCAAGAGCAGGAAAAGCAAUAUGGACACUGGUGUAAGAUGAGGCUAAACAUGUAGCAGGGGCC
rnacentral:lncRNA from 10 species